rnacentral:misc_RNA from 1 species
CAGAGUUAUUAAAACUCCCAAACCCAUGUGAACAUACCUCGCGUUGCCUCGGCAGGUGGCGUCUCGCCCCGUAAGAACCUACCCUGUAGGACCUUACCCGGUAGACGACCCUGCCGACGGCCCCCGAAACUCUGUUUUAUAGCAUUAAACUUCUGAAAAUAUAACUAAAAUAAGUUA